rnacentral:rRNA from 1 species
AGUGAACGCUGGCGGUAGGCCUAACACAUGCAAGUCGAACGGCAGCACAGUAAGAGCUUGCUCUUACGGGUGGCGAGUGGCGGACGGGUGAGGAAUACAUCGGAAUCUACUUUUUCGUGGGGGAUAACGUAGGGAAACUUACGCUAAUACCGCAUACGACCUACGGUUGAAAGCAGGGGAUCUUCGGACCUUGCGCGAUUGAAUGAGCCGAUGUCGGAUUAGCUAGUUGGCGGGGUAAAGGCCCACCAAGGCGACGAUCCGUAGCUGGUCUGAGAGGAGGAUCAGCCACACUGGAACUGAGACACGGUCCAGACUACUACGGGAGGCAGCAGUGGGGAAUAUUGGACAAUGGGCGCAAGCCUGAUCCAGCCAUACCGCGUGGGUGAAGAAGGCCUUCGGGUUGUAAAGCCCUUUUGUUGGGAAAGAAAAGCAGCAGGUUAAUACCCCGAUGUUCUGACGGUACCCAAAGAAUAAGCACCGGCUAACUUCGUG